rnacentral:rRNA from 1 species
AGAGUUUGAUCCUGGCUCAGGAUGAACGCUAGCGGGAGGCCUAACACAUGCAAGUCGAGGGGUAACGGAAGUAGCUUGCUACUAGACGACGACCGGCGCACGGGUGAGUAACGCGUAUGUAAUCUGCCUUGUACAGAGGGAUAGCCCAGAGAAAUUUGGAUUAAUACCUCAUAGUAUUACUGAAUCGCAUGAUUCGGUAAUUAAAGCUCCGGCGGUACAAGAUGAACAUGCGUGACAUUAGCUAGUUGGUAAGGUAACGGCUUACCAAGGCAACGAUGUCUAGGGGUUCUGAGAGGAUGAUCCCCCACACUGGUACUGAGACACGGACCAGACUCCUACGGGAGGCAGCAGUGAGGAAUAUUGGUCAAUGGACGCAAGUCUGAACCAGCCAUCCCGCGUGAAGGAUGACUGCCCUAUGGGUUGUAAACUUCUUUUAUAUGCAAAUAAACCUACUUUCGUGAAAGUAAGCUGAAGGUAGCAUAUGAAUAAACACCGGC